GAUGAACGCUGGCGGCGUGCCUAAUACAUGCAAGUCGAGCGAACGGACGAGAAGCUUGCUUCUCUGAUGUUAGCGGCGGACGGGUGAGUAACACGUGGAUAACCUACCUAUAAGACUGGGAUAACUUCGGGAAACCGGAGCUAAUACCGGAUAAUAUUUUGAACCGCAUGGUUCAAAAGUGAAAGACGGUCUUGCUAUCACUUAUAGAUGGAUCCGCGCUGCAUUAGCUAGUUGGUAAGGUAACGGCUUACCAAGGCAACGAUGCAUAGCCGACCUGAGAGGGUGAUCGGCCACACUGGAACUGAGACACGGUCCAGACUCCUACGGGAGGCAGCAGUAGGGAAUCUUCCGCAAUGGGCGAAAGCCUGACGGAGCAACGCCGCGUGAGUGAUGAAGGUCUUCGGAUCGUAAAACUCUGUUAUUAGGGAAGAACAUAUGUGUAAGUAACUGUGAACAUCUUGACGGUACCUAAUCAGAAAGCCACGGCUAACUACGUG
rnacentral:rRNA from 1 species